UCCUUCCUCGGCUCCUGUUCUCCUCAGUGGUUAACUUAAGGCUGAGAGACUUCUAGCAACUGCUGCCUCUAAGGAGAACAGCCAUCACAGCCAUGGCAGGGAUUUUGCGCUCAAUAGUUCAGAGGCCCCCAGGGAGACUACAAACGGCAACAAAAGGUGUGGAACCUCUUGUUUGUACAGACUGGAUUCGUCACAAAUUUACGAGGUCAAGAAUUCCAGAUGAAGUUUUUCGGCCUUCACCUGAAGAUCAUGAAAAAUACGGUGGGGAUCCGCAGCAACCUCAUAAACUGCAUAUUGUUACCAGAAUAAAAAGUACAAAAAGACGUCCAUAUUGGGAGAAAGAUAUAAUAAAGAUGCUUGGGUUACAAAAAGCACACACUCCUCAAGUUCACAAGAAUAUCCCUUCAGUGAAUGCAAAGCUGAAAGUGGUUAAACAUUUGAUAAGAAUCAAGCCCCUGAAGCUGCCCCAGGGUCUCCCAACAGAGGAGGACAUGUCCAACACGUGCCUGAAAAGCACUGGUGAGCUGGUUGUGAGGUGGCUUCUGAACCCCACGGACCAGGAAGCGAAGAAGUGCUGACAGCGACAGCCCAGCAGCUUCAGAGUAAAAAGUGGAAGUCAUUUCUAUUUAAAGAUGAUGAGAUUAAUGAAGACACCAGUCAUAGAGCCAUCUCUUUUUCCUGACAGCGUCCAAUCCUGAGCAACCCCUGCUUCUGUGAACACUCAUCAAAAUCAUCUAAUAAAAGCCCAAAUCCUGUAAAGUCCUUC